rnacentral:rRNA from 1 species
UAGGGAAUCUUCCGCAAUGGGCGAAAGCCUGACGGAGCAACGCCGCGUGAGUGAAGAAGGAUUUCGGUUCGUAAAGCUCUGUUGUUAGGGAAGAAUGAUUGUGUAGUAACUAUACAUAGUAGAGACGGUACCUAACCAGAAAGCCACGGCUAACUACGUGCCAGCAGCCGCGGUAAUACGUAGGUGGCAAGCGUUGUCCGGAAUUAUUGGGCGUAAAGCGCGCGCAGGUGGUUUAAUAAGUCUGAUGUGAAAGCCCACGGCUCAACUGUGGAGGGUCAUUGGAAACUGUUAAACUUGAGUGCAGGAGAGAAAAGUGGAAUUCCUAGUGUAGCGGUGAAAUGCGUAGAGAUUAGGAGGAACACCAGUGGCGAAGGCGGCUUUUUGGCCUGUAACUGACACUGAGGCGCGAAAGCGUGGGGAGCAAACAGGAUUAGAUACCCUGGUAGUCCACGCCGUAAACGAUGAGUGCUAAGUGUUGGUCUCAUAAGAGAUCAGUGCUGCAGCUAACGCAUUAAGCACUCCGCCUGGGGAGUACGACCGCAAGGUUGA